CUUCCGUCUUCUAUGAGCGCCUGGUAGAAUCUUCUUUUUCUUUAUGUUAAACUGUUACCUGUUAGUGCAAAUACAGACGUCAGUCCAUUUUUAUUGCCAAUUCCACAUUUAUGUUUCGUUUAAACACUGAGAUCGUGAACACUGUAUUACACUAGUCCAUUCUUAUCAAUAUUAUCACCCAUAACUAUUAUUUAGAAUGUUUUAUAUACAACUUGCGUCACGAGUAAAUACAUCUAGCGUGGGUCUUGAAA